AUCGCUUCUUGGCCUUUUGGCUAAGAUUAACUGUAGUAUCUGUUCUUAUCAGUUUAAUAUCUGAUACGCCCCCUUUCUGGGGGCCAUAUAUUAAAUGGAUUUUUAGAACAGGGAGAUGGAAGAAGAGCUUGCUCUGUCCACUCCACGCAUUGACCUGGUAUUGCAGUACCUCCAGGACCGGUGCACAAAAA
rnacentral:snRNA from 1 species